rnacentral:rRNA from 1 species
GAGUUUGAUCCUGGCUCAGGAUGAACGCUGGCGGCGUGCUUAACACAUGCAAGUCGAACGGGAUCCAUCGGGCUUUGCUUGGUGGUGAGAGUGGCGAACGGGUGAGUAAUGCGUGACCGACCUGCCCCAUGCUCCGGAAUAGCUCCUGGAAACGGGUGGUAAUGCCGGAUGUUCCACAUGAUCGCAUGUGAUUGUGGGAAAGAUUCUAUCGGCGUGGGAUGGGGUCGCGUCCUAUCAGCUUGUUGGUGAGGUAACGGCUCACCAAGGCUUCGACGGGUAGCCGGCCUGAGAGGGCGACCGGCCACAUUGGGACUGAGAUACGGCCCAGACUCCUACGGGAGGCAGCAGUGGGGAAUAUUGCACAAUGGGCGCAAGCCUGAUGCAGCGACGCCGCGUGAGGGAUGGAGGCCUUCGGGUUGUAAACCUCUUUUGUUUGGGAGCAAGCCUUCGGGUGAGUGUACCUUUCGAAUAAGCGCCGGCUAACUACGUGCCAGCAGCCGCGGUAAUACGUAGGGCGCAAGCGUUAUCCGGAUUUAUUGGGCGUAAAGGGCUCGUAGGCGGCUCGUCGCGUCCGGUGUGAAAGUCCAUCGCUUAACGGUGGAUCUGCGCCGGGUACGGGCGGGCUGGAGUGCGGUAGGGGAGACUGGAAUUCCCGGUGUAACGGUGGAAUGUGUAGAUAUCGGGAAG